GGGGCGGGCUGAGGGACAGUCAGUGAGGGCAGGUGGCGCUGGGGAGAGAGCGGGCCGCUGGCUGGAAUGUUUUGGUCGGCACUAGUCAGUCUUGCUACACACAUUCUAGUGACUAGUGAUUAUUUAUUAUCAGCAGCUUCUUCCUGCACCAAGCACCACCAAGCAGCUGAGAGGCACCACUAUUCAAGACACAGGGUGACCUUAUCAGCUGUGUUAUACCUACAAGGAUCUGCCACACUCCAGACACUGCGCAAGUAGCGGUGAAAGAGCCUUAUGAACGCAAACUUCACUGCUGGAUCGUGUCACCUCCCAGCAAACACAUCAACCAGCGCAGUAUAUGCUCAGAACACAAGCGGGUGAUGGGAGGUGACAGACACGCAUGUACUGAGUGAGCGGCUUCCCCGAGGUUUCCUUCGCUGGGUCAGGCCGGGGCUUGACCUGGAUGGGUGCCAGCAGUUGCCUCGCUCAGCUGCACACGUGGGCGAGGAAUGUUUGGAGAGAGGCGCUCCCGCCAUCUACAUGAAACAGGUGAUAUUAGGAUGGGAACAACAUCCUCUUUUGGCAAGCUUUCCAACAAGUCUGGAGUCUAGUCUACACUUGUCGGGCAACAAAUCUCCGAGCCAUUAAUAAUGUCUGAUUAGCGAAGGAAAUUGUACACUGUCAGUCACCUGGCUAGUCUGUCAGUCAGUUGAUUGUCAGUUAAAAUUCUGAGCCAUAAGCAGUAGUUGAUUCAUGAAGCGUUAAUUAAUUAACGAAGCACCUUGUAUAUAGGUACUCAGUCUUGUGUGUGUGAGAAACUCAGGAGACAAGGGGCGUUGCAAUCAAUUACUGAGCGUGUGGCAGAGAUGUGAACGCCUCACUUGACCUGGACUGACGCCCCACUGCUUCUUUCAGAGACGCACCCGAGAGCCUGAGUGCCAGCUGCGGUCGCCUCUCCGGUGUGAUUCGCGUGUGGCUUUAAAGUUCAGGUAUAAAGUGGAAAUCAGUCUGAACGUGGCUGCCUUAGUGACUGGAUGUAAUGUGUAUUAUUACUGGAAUAAUUACUUUAUUGCUAAAUUACAUUAGCAACACGAUUCAGUGUUCGUACGGCUUUUUUACUGCAAUUGGUGUGUGGAUUGAGACAGGCCUUGUAAGUAUAUAUCUAAUGAAGUUAGGUUGUCUGUUACGUUAAUGUCCAUGGAGAUUAUGGUAAUUUAGGUUCGUUUAGGUUAGGUCAGUGUUCUUAAGAUGUGUGUGGACAGAAAACAUUUUGGGUAUCAAGUGGUUCGGGCAUUAAGUGUCAUGUAAUCUGUGUUUUAAACGCCUCUGUGGUUCAGUAAUUUUAAUCAAUAUAUAUAUAUAUAUAUAUAUAUAUAUAUAUAUAUAUAUAUAUAUAUAUAUAUAUAUAUAUAUAUAUAUAUAUAUAUAUAUAUAUAUAUAUAAUAAGCAUUUUUAUCAUCAACUGAGAGGAAUAAUGUGAAAAAUGCCAACGAAAUUCGUUUGAAAUUGUUUAGUAGCUUAUUAUUUAUUAUUUAUUUUUUCUGUCCUCUUUCACCUCCUCCUCUGUUAUUUUCUCGUCCUCCUCGUCCUUGUCUUCGUCCCUCACCACGCGCACCACAAAGGAAAAGUAUAAAAAAAUAUCAAUAAAUUAAACUUGUAAUAGUUAUUUUCUCGUCCUCCUCGUCCUUAUCUUCGUCUCUCACCAAGCACACCACAAAGGAAAAGUAUAAUAAAAUACCAAUAAAUUAAACUUGUAAUAGUUAAAGUAAAUUAUCAUCGUUACGUCCUCUUCUCCGUCUUCUUUCUCAUCCUCUUUAUCACUCUCUCCUCGUUGCCCUCUUCGCUUUCAUGUCCCACCACCCACACCACCUCCUCUCGUCUCAGGUACUCCCUUUGUUGCAUCAGGUUCGUUCAGGCUUGAGUAAGGCAGCAAAAGCCCGUCAGAUGCCCUUUAGAAACCUAGUUAUCCCAAAGUCAACGUAAUUUAACUUUUGGAUUAGUCUCCCCGCUCCUUCUCUGGCCGAGGGUCCGCGAGAGGUGGCGGAGUGUGAAGGAGUGCGCGAGAGGGUCAUCCCGUUUUCUGUUUCUUGUGGUAGUGCUGACUGGUGUUUUGUUUGGUGUUUGGUUCGUGUGGUUUUGAAAUGGAGAGGAGAAGGAGGAGGAGAUGAUGAUGGAAGUAGGAGGAAGAGGAUAUGAGAAUAGGAGGAGGAGGAAGAAGAGAUGACGAUAGAGAAAUGUUGUUGGUUGUGAGGUUGGUCUCUCUCUCUCACUCACUCUCUCUCCGAAAGCAACUUUUACCCCCAUCUAUCUCUUUGCUUCUUCAUUCGUCUUCACUUUUCUUUCUUUAUAUUGUCAUGUCUUCGAUUGAAUCUCUCUCUCUCUCUCUCUCUCUCUCUCUCUCUCUCUCUCUCUCUCUCUCUCUCUCUCUCUCUCUCUCUCUCUUUCUCUGAUUUUCUGUGUUAUUGCAUUAAUUUAGUUUCCAUCAGAGAGAGAGAGAGGGACAGAGAGAGAGAGAGAGAGAGAACUAGUGAAUCAUGUAACCAAUCAAUUAACAGCCUCAGUUGCCUCCCUUUCAUGUCUAUGCGUCAGUGGACCUUUUCUCUCCUCUGUCACCUGUCUGUUUUGCUGUCUAUAUUCCUGUCUACUUUGCCCUCUGUUUUACUGUCUUUUGUGUUGUUUUGCUGUGUAUUUUGCUGUUUUGCUUUCUAUUUUGCUGUCUUUUUGCUGUUAUGUUUAGUUCAAGCUGUUUUCCUGCUGUUUAUUGGCUUUUAAGUUGUCUAUUACCAGCUCUGUUGUUGUUUGUUUCCACCUGCCUUGUCCCUGUUGUUUUCUGUUUGGCUGUCUUUUUUUCCGUUUGUUCCGCCUGUUUUGCUGUCUGUUACGAGCUGCCUCCCUUCCGUCUGUUCUUGGCUGUCAGUUGCAUUGGUGUCUCUUACCAGCUGUCUAUUGAAACAUCACUCAUUCAUUGUUUCUUCCUACAUAUUUUUUUUUUAUUUAGCACCAUUUCCACGAAUUUGAGAGAAGAAAAAAAAACUUACCUUAUUUUCACGUGUCACCCUCAUUCAAUUUACGGAAAACACCAGUGAUUCGUAUUUUUCUCUGUCUUUUUAUUCGGAUUGGUUAUCACACGUUGUUUUUUUCCACAUUUCAUUCUUUACGUAACAGAAACUUAAUCCGUAAAAUGACUCUGCGUUGCACUGAAAGGCAAACUCAAUACUCGGGUCGCUUACUACAGCUGUUUUGGACGGAGUAACUGAAUUAAUUAAGAGGGGAAAAAAAAAGAGUUGAUACGGUUUUCCCCCAGAGAGAGAGAGAGAGAGAGAGAGAGAGAGAGGGGGGAGGGAGGUGACUAUAAAAUUAGGAGAUUAUGGUCCAUUAAACACCCAUUACAAUAACCAGGUUUUAUCAAAACAUGCAUUCCGGGAUUAAAAUCUUACGUAAUUCAUUCAGUGUGUGGAUUGGGAGUCUGCCGCUUGGAAAAAAAAUAAAUAAAUAAAUGAUAGAAAUGCAUGUUGUUUGUGCGUCUGAAAGUCUGUUAUCGCGUCUGUGCACUUUCCCAGAGAGAGAGAGAGAGAGAGAGAGAGAGCGACAAAUUUGAUAAAAACCCAUUGCUUGCUCUACACUACAUCAGUACACGCCUUCAUUCACACCAAAAAUAGUCUCCUGUCCCAUUGCACGCGAGGGAUGCUGCAAAUACAUGAACAAAUGAAUAAAUAAGUAAGUGACCCCUAAAUAAAUAAUGUAUGAUAAAGGAUCGUAAUUUAAGAUGUACAGUUUUGCUCGUUAUUUCCCGUAGAAUACAUAAUAGAUGUUACGUAUACAGGUUUCAUGGUAAAUUUCCCUUUGUUUGUACGGUCUUGUUUAGUUUUGUAUUGUAUUUCUAGUCUGUUCAACGUUUUCUUUAUAUUUAUAGUCUAGCCAGCUUGUCUUUGUGUGUAUAACCUGGUAACUUUCUCUCUCUCUCUCUCUCUCUCUCUCUCUCUCUCUCUCUCUCUCUCUCUCUCUCUCUCUCUCUGCGUGUGUUUAUAUGUUUUUUCAUCAUCAUCAUCAUCAUCAUUCAUCAUCAUCAUCAUCAUCAUCAUCAUCAUCACUAGCGGUAUUCUCUCUCAUCUCUCAUCGUCUUUUCUUAAUCUACCUUGCUUUCAUUGCUCUUCCUCUGUCUCACGAGCGUAUUUGUCUGUUUCCCUUAGAGGCUUCACUGCCCCCUCCUCCUCCUCCUCCUCCUCCUCCUCCUCUUCCUCCUCCUCCUCCUCCUCCUCCUCCUCCUCCUCCUCCUCCUCCUCCUGCUGCUGCUGCUGCUGCUUUCAAGAUGAGAGGCUGUUGCUCUUUUGAUCACGAGUCCUCUUAUUAGUCUUCACGCUCUCUCUCUCUCUCUCUCUCUCUCUCUCUCUCUCUCUCUCUGGAAAGGUGCACAGACACGAUUAAGUGUGUGUGCGCGCGCGCGUCCGAGCCUUGAAUACUUAAAGGCCUCGGGGGGCGCUAUUAUCCCUAACUGAUUAAUUAAACACAUCAAAUUGACUUGCUUUUCCGGAACAAGCCCCGAGGCACCUCCACUCCACUUCCUCGAGUCACAGGCGGGGCAGGCGUGUUAAUGAGGCAGCCUGCGGGUGAUAAGGGGGCGGGGGAGUGGGAGUGUGUGGCCUUCGUGCUACAGAGGGUUAGUUAUCAGUAUCAUUAUUGCCAAACUUGACACUGGGUUCGUGAUUUAGAAGCCACGCCCAUUCCUUCAUUCUCUACAGGGCUGGUGAUUAUUGCACGAGGAAAGUUAAAUUGUGUUGUAAAGUUAGGUUUCCAGGAGCAUAAUAAGGUGUUAAUUCUUUGAUACAUUGAGUCUUUUAAGUUACUAAUUAGUGAAUGCUGUUAAAUUACAAUAAAAUGUUAUAUUUCUAAGAGUA